CAAGAAGGCCCUCACCAGAUGCUAGUGCCAUGCUCUUGGACUUCUCAGUCUCCAGAACCAAGGAAAACCUGAAGUCUAGGGAGUUGGAUGUCUCAUGAGAAAGUCAGCUGACAAAGCCACUGGCCAGAUGGGAAACAAAGACAGUAUGGGGACAGCUCACAAAAAGUCUCCACCUUGUCAGAGUGGAGCCGUCAACUUUGGCAGACAACCUGAUGCCAUCAUGGAGGCUGAAAAUCCUCACACCUUUCAUUCUGUCUAGGGCUGACUGGAACCAGGGCUGGCUGAUCAGCUGUCAGGCUGCUCUUUAGCGAAGCUUGGAAAGUUCCAGCAAAAGCCCUGCCUUUGAACCGGAAUCACUCUGCCACCAUCUGCACAUGGAUCCUUUGUAGUGGAGACAGUGAUCUUUGUUCUGUAUAAAAACAGACUGGAACUCUUCUUGGGCCUGUCCCUCUGCUGACAAUUCCAAGUAAUGCUUUAUCAUCCCCAAGUGCAUUGCGUUGCUUUAAUAUCUGGCAGAGCGUGAAUUGUAAACACAUCAUUAGACUUAAAGGCUGCCCUGAGAUGGUGGCUGGAGGAGAACGGGGCCUGAAGAAAAGAGGAAUUUGGCUGAAAAUGAGCUGCUGAAUAAUUUAUCAUGAAUUGAAAUGUCAAUACCUUAAGUGAGGCAUGGUGAAGCUUCAGAACUCAGAGGUAAACACUGUGAGGAUGUAAUUCUGGAGAGAACAUUAUCAAAAGCAGUGGCUCUUCGGAAAGAGCAGGAGG